AGGAUAAACGCUGGCGGCGUGCCUAACACAUGCAAGUCGAACGUCCUACGCAAGUAGGGAGUGGCGGACGGGUGAGUAACACGUGGGCAAUCUACCUUUCGGUGAGGAAUACCGGCGAGAAAUCGCCGACAAUACCGCAUACGCUUCGCAAGAAGCAAAGUCGCAAGACGCCGGAGGAGGAGCCUGCGCCCGAUUAGCUCGUUGGUGGAGUAAUGGUCUACCAAGGCGACGAUCGGUAGCUGGUCUGAGAGGAUGAUCAGCCACACUGGGAUUGAGAACGGCCCAGACUCCUACGGGGGCAGCAGUGAGGAAUUUUCGUCAAUGGGGGAAACCCUGAACGAGCAACGCCGCGUGCAGGAAGACACUUUUCGGAGCGUAAACUGUCUUUUCUCGGGGACGAGUAAGGACGGUACCCGAGGAAUCACGCCCCGGCUAACUACGUGCCAGCAGCCGC
rnacentral:rRNA from 1 species